GACGAACGCUGGCGGCGUGCCUAAUACAUGCAAGUCGAACGAAGCUGUUUUAACUGGUGCUUGCACCGACUUAAACAACUGAGUGGCGAACGGGUGAGUAACACGUGGGUAACCUGCCCCAAAGCGGGGGAUAACAUUUGGAAACAGAUGCUAAUACCGCAUAACCACAGAAACCACAUGGUUUCUGUGUCAAAGAUGGUUUCGGCUAUCACUUUGGGAUGGACCCGCGGCGUAUUAGCUAGUUGGUAAGGUAAUGGCUUACCAAGGCAAUGAUACGUAGCCGAACUGAGAGGUUGAUCGGCCACAUUGGGACUGAGACACGGCCCAAACUCCGACGGGAGGCAGCAGUAGGGAAUCUUCCACAAUGGACGAAAGUCUGAUGGAGCAACGCCGCGUGAGUGAGGAAGGUUUUCGGAUCGUAAAACUCUGUUGUCAGAGAAGAACGUGUGCGAGAGUAACUGCUCGUGCAGUGACGGUAUCUGGCCAGAAAGCCACGGCUAACUACGUGCCAGCCGCCGCAGUAA
rnacentral:rRNA from 1 species